rnacentral:rRNA from 1 species
GCUGGAAUCGCUAGUAAUCGCAGGUCAGCAUACUGUCGGUGAAUACGUUCCCGGGUCUUGUACACACCGCCCGUCACACCAUGGGAGCCGGAAAUGCCCGAAGCCAGUGACCCAACCUUAGGGAGGGAGCUGUCGAAGGUGGAGCCGGUAACUGGGGUGAAGUCGUAACAAGGUAUC